CGGGUAGGACAUCUAGUAACGUACCUCGGGCGAGGACAGCCACGGGAAACUGUGGGUAAAUACUCGAUAAACUUCCCAAUCAUUAUCGGAGGGGAAGCAAUGGGUGUAUUCCACCUGAGGAGCGGCUUAGACAGUAUCAGCUUGUUGGUGAGGUAACGGCUCACCAAGGCUACGACGCUUAGGGGGUGUGAGAGCAUGGCCCCCACCACUGGCACUGAGACACUGGCCAGACACCUACGGGUGGCUGCAGUCGAGAAUCUUCGGCAAUGGACGCAAGUCUGACCGAGCGACGCCACGUUGCGGGAUGAAGGCCCUCGGGUUGUAAACCGCUGUCACUCGUUAAGAAAGCCUGGGGUAGGCCUCCAGGUUGACGUUAGCGAGAAAGGAGUCACGGUACUUCGUGCCAAGCCGGGUAGAGAAGGUGACAACCGUUACUUCGGAAAUCACUUGGGGCAUUAAAGGGGCGGCGUUAGGUUGGGUUUGGUAAGUUCCAUUGUUGAAAUUCCCUUCGGUUCNACGGAAGGGAAAUUGGGCGUGGGAUUAUUGCGGAGUUGGAGAAGGGGGGGGGGGUAGUGGAACUCUCGGGGUUGUUGGGGGAAA
rnacentral:rRNA from 1 species